AUUGAACGCUGGCGGCAGGCCUAACACAUGCAAGUCGAACGAGUGGCGGACGGGUGAGUAAUGCCUGGGAAACUGCCUGAUGGAGGGGGAUACCUACUGGGAACGGUAGCUAAUACCGCAUACAAUCGGAUGAGACCCGAUGGGAUUAGCUUGUGGGUGGGGUAACGGCUCACCAAGACGACGAUCCCUAGCUGGUCUGAGAGGAUGACCAGCCACACUGGAACUGAGACACGGCCCAGACUCCUACGGGAGGCAGCAGUGGGGAAUAUUGCACAAUGGGCGCAACCCUGAUGCAGCCAUGCCGCGUGUAUGAAGAAGGCCUUCGGGUUGUAAAGUACUUUCAGCGGGGAGGCGUUACCCGCAGAAGAAGCACCGGCUAACUCCGUGCCAGCAGCCGCGGUAAUAC
rnacentral:rRNA from 1 species